UACGUAGGGAGCAAGCGUUGUCCGGAAUCAUUGGGCGUAAAGCGCGCGUAGGUGGCCUCAUAAGUCCGUUGUGAAAGUCAAAGGCUCAACCCUUUGAAAGCCGAUGGAUACUGUGAGACUAGAGUACGGAAGAGGCGAGUGGAAUUCCCGGUGUAGCGGUGAAAUGCGCAGAUAUCGGGAGGAACACCUAUGGCGAAGGCAGCUCGCUGGGACGUUACUGACGCUGAGACGCGAAAGCGUGGGGAGCAAACAGG
rnacentral:rRNA from 1 species